GGUUAUGACACUACUCUCGAAUG
rnacentral:snRNA from 1 species